rnacentral:rRNA from 1 species
GACAGAGGGUGCAAACGUUGUUCGGAUUUACUGGGCGUAAAGCGCGUGUAGGCGGCUUUGCAAGUCGGAUGUGAAAUCCCACGGCUCAACCGUGGAAGUGCAUCCGAAACUGCAUCGCUGGAGUCUCGGAGAGGAAGGUGGAAUGCUUGGUGUAGAGGUGAAAUUCGUAGAUAUCAAGCAGAACACCUGCGGCGAAGGCGGCCUUCUGGACGAUGACUGACGCUGAGACGCGGAAAGCGUGGGGAGCAAACAGG